rnacentral:rRNA from 1 species
AACGCUAGCUACAGGCUUAACACAUGCAAGUCGAGGGGAAACGACAUCGAAAGCUUGCUUUUGAUGGGCGUCGACCGGCGCACGGGUGAGUAACGCGUAUCCAACCUGCCCACCACUUGGGGAUAACCUUGCGAAAGUAAGACUGAUACCCGAUGAUAUCCCUAGACGACAUCUGAAAGGGAUUAAAGAUUUAUCGGUGAUGGAUGGGGAUGCGUCUGAUUAGCUUGUUGGCGGGGUAACGGCCCACCAAGGCAACGAUCAGUAGGGGUUCUGAGAGGAAGGUCCCCCACAUUGGAACUGAGACACGGUCCAAACUCCUACGGGGGGCAGCAGUGAGGAAUAUUGGUCAAUGGGCGAGAGCCUGAACCAGCCAAGUAGCGUGCAGGAUGACGGCCCUAUGGGUUGUAAACUGCUUUUAUAAGGGAAUAAAGUGAGUCUCGUGAGACUUUUUGCAUGUACCUUAUGAAUAAGGACCGGCUAAUUCCGUGCCAGCAGCCGCGGUAAUACGGAGGAUCCAAGCGUUAUCCGGAUUUAUUGGGUUUAAAGGGUGCGCAGGCGGGAGAUUAAGUCGGUGGUGAAAUUUUGCGGCUCAACCGUAAGAGUGCCAUCGAAACUGGUUUUCUUGAGUGUAGAUGAAGUAGGCGGAAUUUGUGGUGUGGCGGUGAAAUGCAUAGAUAUCACGAAGAACUCCGAUUG